rnacentral:rRNA from 1 species
UUGAGUUUGAUCAUGGCUCAGGACGAACGCUGGCGGCGUGCCUAAUACAUGCAAGUCGAGCGAAUCAUUAGGAGCUUGCUCCUGAUGGUUAGCGGCGGACGGGUGAGUAACACGUGGGCAACCUGCCUGUAAGACUGGGAUAACACCGGGAAACCGGUGCUAAUACCGGAUAAUUCUUCACUUCUCAUGAAGUGAAGCUGAAAGUCGGUUUCGGCUGACACUUACAGAUGGGCCCGCGGCGCAUUAGCUAGUUGGUGAGGUAACGGCUCACCAAGGCGACGAUGCGUAGCCGACCUGAGAGGGUGAUCGGCCACACUGGGACUGAGACACGGCCCAGACUCCUACGGGAGGCAGCAGUAGGGAAUCUUCCGCAAUGGACGAAAGUCUGACGGAGCAACGCCGCGUGAGUGAUGAAGGCCUUCGGGUCGUAAAACUCUGUUGUUAGGGAAGAACAAGUAUCGGAGUAACUGCCGGUACCUUGACGGUACCUAACCAGAAAGCCACGGCUAACUACGUGCCAGCAGCCGCGGUAAUACGUAGGUGGCAAGCGUUGUCCGGAAUUAUUGGGCGUAAAGCGCGCGCAGGCGGUCCUUUAAGUCUGAUGUGAAAGCCCACGGCUCAACCGUGGAGGGUCAUUGGAAACUGGGGGACUUGAGUGCAGAAGAGGAAAGCGGAAUUCCACGUGUAGCGGUGAAAUGCGUAGAGAUGUGGAGGAACACCAGUGGCGAA